rnacentral:rRNA from 1 species
AGAGUGAACGCUGGCGGUAGGCCUAACACAUGCAAGUCGAACGGCAGCACGGUAAGAGCUUGCUCUUAUGGGUGGCGAGUGGCGGACGGGUGAGGAAUACAUCGGAAUCUACCUUUUGGUGGGGGAUAACGUAGGGAAACUUACGCUAAUACCGCAUACGCCCUUCGGGGGAAAGCCGGGGACCAGCAAUGGCCUGGCGCUGAUAGAUGAGCCGAUGUCGGAUUAGCUAGUUGGUGAGGUAAUGGCUCACCAAGGCGACGAUCCGUAGCUGGUCUGAGAGGAUGAUCAGCCACACGUGGAACUGAGACACGGUCCAGACUCCGUACGGGAGCAGCAGGUGGGAAUAGUUGGACAAGUGGGCGACGAACGCCUAGAUCCAGCCAUACCGCGGUGGUAGAAGAAGGUCCCGUUAGGUCGUAAACGUCCCGUUUUAGGUUAA